AUUGAACGCUGGCGGCAUGCCUUACACAUGCAAGUCGAACGGCAGCACGGACUUCGGUCUGGUGGCGAGUGGCGAACGGGUGAGUAAUGUAUCGGAACGUACCUUUCAGUGGGGGAUAACGUAGCGAAAGUUACGCUAAUACCGCAUAUUCUGUGAGCAGGAAAGCAGGGGAUCGCAAGACCUUGCGCUGAUUGAGCGGCCGAUAUCAGAUUAGCUAGUUGGUGGGGUAAAGGCCUACCAAGGCUACGAUCUGUAGCGGGUCUGAGAGGAUGAUCCGCCACACUGGAACUGAGACACGGUCCAGACUCCUACGGGAGGCAGCAGUGGGGAAUUUUGGACAAUGGGGGCAACCCUGAUCCAGCCAUGCCGCGUGAGUGAAGAAGG
rnacentral:rRNA from 1 species